AGCCACACUUACGUUUUCCCUUUGCUCUGAGGAUAUCUGAGAGGAAUCUGGGCCUGGGAACCUUUGGUGUGAUUCUGGUCUAAUGAACUGCAGUCUGUUGGGGUUCUUGGGCAGCUGGCCUUUACAUGACCCAGCUCAUUACAUUUAAAACAUCAUCCAGCUGACUGGUCAUUGGUAAAGGGUUUGGGUUACUGGAGAGUGGUGA